rnacentral:rRNA from 1 species
UACGAGUACCCCAAGCGUUAUCCGGAAUCAUUGGGCGUAAAGGGUGUGUAGGUGGUUUUCUUAGUCUUCUGUUAAAAUUCCUGGCUCAACCAGGAACCUGCAGUGGAAACGGGAAGACUCGAGGGUGCGAGGGGUGAAUGGAACUCAUGGAGUAGGGGUGAAAUCCGUUGAUAUCAUGGGGAACACCAAAAGCGAAGGCAAUUCACUGGCGCACAUCUGACACUGAAACACGAAAGCGUGGGUAGCGAACGGG